rnacentral:SRP_RNA from 1 species
GCCGGGUGCUGUGGCUUGUGCCUGUGAUCCCAGCUGCUUGGGAGGCUGAGGGGUUCUGGGCUGCAGUGAACUAUGCCGAUCGGGUGUCCGCACUAAGUUCGGCAUCAAUAUGGUGAUCCCUGAGAAGCUUGGGGUCACCAGGUUGCCUAAGGAGGGGUGAACCGGCCCAGGUCAAAAACAGAGCAGGUCAAAACUCCCUUGCUGAUCAGUAGUGAGAUCACGCCUGUGAAUAGCCCCUGCAGUGUAGCCUGGGCAAGACAGU